rnacentral:lncRNA from 1 species
CAUAAAAUAAUGGAAAGGAAAUGCAGAUUACUACCAGUUCAAACAACAAAGCAAUCCUUCUCAAAAAAAAAAAAACAAAGCAGUCACAAUUGUUCUUGAUAUCUAGUAACAAAAAGAAAUACCGGUGCAGCAGCCGGGUGAGUACAUGUCAAGCAGGAGAGGAAGGCAUUCUUUAAAGCACGUUGUGCCCCACAAACAUGCAUCCCUUUUAUCAUAAAGCUUGAGGGAUCCAAACCAAGCAAAACUGGUAGAAUACGCCCGUAAUAUGCAGGGCGUUUUUUUGCUAUUGCUGAAAGACUGAAGAAGGGGGAAAAAAAAGAAUGAACAACAAAGAAUUAACAAGAAUAAUAACCAAUCACAAAAGCAUCAAACUUCCAACAAAUACAUGCCAACUGCAUACUACUAGUAUUUUCAUCCUUAUUAGUCAACAAAACAAAGUGAAUAUAGUAAUUCUUGACAUGUACAAUAAAUCAUGCCUGCUUAAUGUUAUGUCCACUGUGCAGGUAUGUGAGGUUGUUUUUGGUUUAGAUAUUAAUUCAAGGAAAAAUCUGAUUGGCAUAAAUGUAGAGGAUAAUUUAUGAUGACCUAGCAUAUGCUUUAGGGAGAAUAAUCUUGCAAAGUUCUAUAACCUAUUUAUAAGUGUUCAACUGGGGGUUAACCAUGCAUAAACUCUCUUUAGAAUCCCCUUUUCUGUGAAA